rnacentral:rRNA from 1 species
UACAGAGGGUGCGAGCGUUGUCCGGAUUCACUGGGCGUAAAGGGCGCGUAGGUGGCGCUCCAAGUCCAUGGUGAAAGCUCGAUGCUCAACAUCGAGUCGGCCACGGAUACUGGGUUGCUCGAGCACUGUAGGGGCAGAUGGAAUUCCGGGUGUAGCGGUGGAAUGCGUAGAGAUCCGGAAGAACACCGGUGGCGAAGGCGGCCUGCUGGGCAGUUGCUGACACUGAGGCGCGACAGCGUGGGGAGCAAACAGG